rnacentral:lncRNA from 1 species
ACUAGUGUUCUGUAGUUUUUACUAUGGUAAUUUGUGGAUAUAUGGAAUUUUUAGGCUUUGUUUACUCAAUUAUUGUUGAAAGUGUGAGUGGAAUUAUGGUUUCUAUUUUAGACAGUCCUGUUAGUUUUAUCAAGGUAAGUUCAGUUUGAUUUUUUUGAAUUUUGGGAGUCGAGAAAAUUUAGGCAGUGUGCUACUCGAUUAUGUUGAAAGAAUGAAUAGAAGUUAUGGUCUUCUAGUUUGUAUUGUUAUGGUAAUUUCAGAUUAAUUUUUGAAUUUUGAGACAAGCAGUUUUAGGAUUGUGUUACUAUAUAUGUUGAAACUGCUGAUGGAAGUUGUGGUCAUUUAGUUAGUCUAAUGUUAUAAUGCCAUUCUUUUAAAUUCAGGUUUAUUGUGAUUUUUUAUUAUUGCAGGAGUACCUAUGCUUUAUUAUUUUGUUUUGUUUUGCUUGUGUUUCUAAUUUUACCUUUGUUUUCGUAAUGCAGCUUUCCCUCUUUUUAUCCUACACGCCGAGGGUCGUUUGGAAACAGCCUCUCUGCCCUUACGAGCAGGGGUAAGGCUCGUCUACAUAUUACCCUCCCCAUACCCCACCUGGUGGAAUAACUGGGUAGUUGUUGUUGUUGUUGUUGUUUAUUGUGAUUUUGGGACUACAGAAAUUAUAGGCUUACGCUAGCCGAUUAUGUUGAAAGUGGAUAUGGAAGUUUCUUUUAGUUCAACUAAUGCUGUGUUGCUUUCAUUAUGGUAAUUUAUGGUUGAUUUUGAAGUUCGAUACCGGAGAAGUUUUAGGCUUUUGCUACUCGAUAGACUGAGAACUUGAAUGGAGGUUGUGAUUGUCUAGUUUGACUAAUGUUAUGUAGUUUUUUUAUUCACCAAUUUUUGUGUAGUUUUCAUUAUGGCAAAUUUGGUAUUUUUUAGAUUUUAUGGAAAUUUUAGGCGUUUGCUACUCAAUUAUAGUUGAAAGUGUGAGUUAAGUUAUGGCUUUGAGUUUGACUACUGUGCUGCCAUUUUCCUUAUGGUGAUUUUAGGUUAAUGUUGAAUUAAGAAGACUUUGAGAGUAUGUAAAAGCUUUGAAUUGCUAGUGGAAGUAACGGUCCUUUAAUUUUCUGAAAAUUCUGUAAUUUACAAUAGCAAGUGGUAGAAUUUGGAUUACUAUUGCAUUUCGUUUCCACCUAUUG